rnacentral:rRNA from 1 species
UACGUAGGGGGCAAGCGUUGUCCGGAUUCAUUGGGCGUAAAGAGCGUGUAGGCGGCCAGGUAGGUCUGCUGUGAAAACUCGAGGCUCAACCUCAAGACGUCGGCGGAAACCAUCUGGCUAGAGUCCGGAAGAGGAGAGUGGAAUUCCUGGUGUAGCGGUGAAAUGCGCAGAUAUCAGGAAGAACACCCGUGGCGAAGGCGGCUCUCUGGGACGUUACUGACGCUGAGACGCGAAAGCGUGGGGAGCGAACAGG